rnacentral:rRNA from 1 species
GCAAAAUGCGGACGCGGAGGGACAUUACAGAGUUGCAAAACUCCCACAAACCAUCGCGAAUCUUACCCGUACGGUUGCCUCGGCGCUGGCGGUCCGGAAGGCCCUCGGGCCCCCCGGAUCCUCGGGUCUCCCGCUCGCGGGAGGCUGCCCGCCGGAGUGCCGAAACCAAACUCUUGAUAUUUUAUGUCUCUCUGAGUAAACUUUUAAAUAAGUCAAAACUUUCAACAACGGAUCUCUUGGUUCUGGCAUCGAUGAAGAACGCAGCGAAAUGCGAUAAGUAAUGUGAAUUGCAGAAUUCAGUGAAUCAUCGAAUCUUUGAACGCACAUUGCGCUCGCCAGUAUUCUGGCGAGCAUGCCUGUUCGAGCGUCAUUUCAACCAUCAAGCUCUGCUUGCGUUGGGGAUCCGCGGCUGCCCGCGGUCCCUCAAAAACAGUGGCGGGCUCGCUAGUCACACCGAGCGUAGUAACUCUACAUCGCUAUGGUCGUGCGGCGGGUUCUUGCCGUAAAACCCCCCAAUUUCUAAGGUUGACCUCGGAUCAGGUAGGAAUACCCGCUGAACUUAAGCAUAUCAAUAAGGCCGGAAGA